rnacentral:tRNA from 1 species
GCCGCCGUAGCUCAGCCGGUAGAGCGCCGCCCCGGUAAGGCGGAGGCCCCGGGUUCAAACCCCGGCGGCGGCUCCA